AACGAACGCUGGCGGCAGGCUUAACACAUGCAAGUCGAGCGCCCCGUAAGGGGAGCGGCAGACGGGUGAGUAACGCGUGGGAAUCUACCCAUCUCUACGGAAUUACUCAUGGAAACGUGUGCUAAUACCGUAUACGUCCUUCGGGAGAAGGUUUUAUCGGGGAUGGAUGAGCCCGCGUUGGAUUAGCUAGUUGGUGGGGUAAAGGCCUACCAAGGCGACGAUCCAUAGCUGGCCUGAGAGGAUGAUCAGCCACACUGGAACUUAGACACGGCCCAGACUCCUACGGGGUGCAGUUGAGGAGAAUAUUUAACAAUGGACGCAAGCCUGAUCCAGCCAUGCCGCGUGAGAGAUGAAGGCCCUAGGGUUGUAAAGCUCUUUCACCGGUGAAGAUAAUGACGGUAACCGGAGAAGAAGCCCCGGCUAACUUCGUGCCAGCCGCCGCGGUAACAC
rnacentral:rRNA from 1 species